rnacentral:rRNA from 1 species
AGAGUUUGAUCAUGGCUCAGGAUGAACGCUAGCGGCAGGCCUAAUACAUGCAAGUCGAACGAGCCUUGUUCUUUCGGGAACUUGGUUAGUGGCGCACGGGUGCGUAACGCGUAUGCAACCUACCUUCCACUGGGGGAUAGCCCCGGGAAACCGGGAUUAAUACCGCAUGACACUGUUUGAGGGCAUCCGAAGACAGUCAAAGCUGAGGCGGUGGAAGAUGGGCAUGCGUGCCAUUAGCUAGUUGGUAGGGUAAUGGCCUACCAAGGCGACGAUGGCUAGGGGUUCUGAGAGGAUGGUCCCCCACACUGGUACUGAGACACGGACCAGACUCCUACGGGAGGCAGCAGUAGGGAAUAUUGGGCAAUGGCCGAGAGGCUGACCCAGCCAUGCCGCGUGCAGGAAGAAGGCCUUCUGGGUUGUAAACUGCUUUUAUCAGGGAAGAAAGCGCUCCUGCGGGAGUAACUGACGGUACCUGAUGAAUAAGCACCGGCUAACUCCGUGCCAGCAGCCGCGGUAAUACGGAGGGUGCAAGCGUUGUCCGGAUUUAUUGGGUUUAAAGGGUGCGUAGGCGGCCCGUUAAGUCAGUGGUGAAAUCCCAGGGCUCAACCCUGGAACUGCCAUUGAUACUGGCGGGCUUGAGUUCGGUCGAGGCGGGCGGAGCUGGUGGUGUAGCGGUGAAAUGCAUAGAUACCACCAAGAACCCCGAUUGCGUAGGCAGCUCGCUAGGCCGAAACUGACGCUGAGGCACGAAAGCGUGGGGAGCGAACAGGAUUAGAUACCCUGGUAGUCCACGCCGUAAACGAUGAGUACUCGAUGUUGGCGAUACACAGCCAGCGUCCAAGCGAAAGCGUUAAGUACUCCACCUGGGGAGUACGCCCGCAAGGGUGAAACUCAAAGGAAUUGACGG